rnacentral:lncRNA from 9 species
CAUUCUUUUUUUUUUUUUUUUAGGGCUGUACCUCCAGCGUAUAGAAGUUCAUAGGCUAGAGGACAAGAUGGCGGAGGAGUAGGGGGACACGCUCGCCCUCUCCCACAAACACAACAAAAAAAGCACAUCUACAGAAGAAAUGACUCGCACAGAACAACAACCAAUCGCUGGCAGAGGAACCUAAUCUCCAAUAACGGCAAGAAAUUCGUGACAUUAUUGGGCAGAACGGGAGAAAAGAGGAGAGUGAGAGAAGGUGAAUCCGAGCGGGACGGGCGCUCCCGAAAGGGAACUGCGGAGGGGAAAGGGAUCCCGCACCCUGGAAAGUCACCUACCGGGCGAAAGAUCAAACGAACCGGAGGAAUCUCCAGAUGCAGAGAAGAGUGUAGCAGUAAGUUGGAGUACGGAAAAACGAUCAAGAACCCAACGGACCAUCUGAACUACGGGCACAGUCACCAAAAAUUGAGACGCCUGGGUGGGGGCUGGGCACCGAAUCCUCGGCUCCAGAGCCCAAGGUAGAAUUGGAUUUCCUUGAGUCCUUGAUGUUAUGAAAAGCCAAGUAAAUGUGGAUGUGGAAAUCAGCUUCCAUUCCAGGCAGAAGCUUUAACCCUGCAUAUGAGUUCCCCCUGUAUUUCUCAGCCAAUCUCUUGAAGUAAGUCCUGGAGACCAGACCAUAGAACCCAAAAUGGACAAGAAAUGAGUGAAAAGUAAACAUUCUUGAGUAUAGGCUGCUAAUACAUUGGAGUUGAAUGUUACCACAGUGUAAUCUAGUCUGUUGAGUGAAUAAAUGAGCUAAAUAAAUUGUGAUUUUUAAUGACAUGAGAAAAAGAAAUGAGAUAUUAGCAAAGUAUAUGUACUUAGAGACAAAAGACUUAAAAUAUUAAAAAAGACAUAACCUGAGUAUAACAGAUAGGAAUGUGAAUAUUUUUUAUCUUCUAAACUUUUAUGUGAAAAUUUGAGUUUGUAAGCUCCCCAGUGUUCUUUGCAAAAGAAUUCAUAUUUAAAUUUAAAUUCAUUUAAGUUGAUUAAAUAAAUAUUACAGUUGAAUAAUUAAUUAAAAAAUUUUGUAUAUAUUUUAAACUUUGCAUGCCAUGAUUUUACUUCAUACCUUGAUAAUUUUUCUCCUUACCUGAAUCUAUGGAGAUAACCUGAUACAUUUUCAAGAGGACCAAGACUGUUAUAUGUGUGUCAAACUAGUACUUUCAGAAGGACUUCAUUAAGAAGACAAAAAUUAGCACAGAUUUUAUUUAUAACCGCAGCAUUUAUGGGUUCCUUAAUUUGGGUAUGUAUGAACAAGCCUUCAUGGGAUGGCCUUGUACAAUGGGAUCCACUGCCAUCUACACCAUCCACCUCUCUCUCUCUUUAUUAUUGGAUACAGUGGAUUAGAACUUGAAUAAUUAAACUGUGUUUUGAAUAUUGACUUUUAAGAAUAUAGCCAGCUGCCCUCUGCUGAUGUGCAAACUACAAUUCUAUAUUUUCUCUUUUAAAACAUGAGUAAGUGUUAUUUAUUAGUAUAGUGAUAAGUGAGUCAUUGAGAAUUAACAGUUUGGAAUGUGUGAAGCAUAGUCAAUUUGUUUACAGAACUUCCCAAAUGCUCAAUAGAAUGAGUCGUAUUGCAAGGGCAUUGGCCAUGGGAUGGUCUGUGCACAUACGCUAAUGAUGCCAGAGGUUGGCCUUGCCAUUUUCUCAGUGCAAAGCUCACUCAGUACAUCAUAAAAUUUACCUUGAGUAGGUUGUGCCUGUCAUUUUGUUUGCUCUUUCAUUAUAAAUGAAUCUUGGUUAGUUCAUUUGUUAUAUCAAUCUAUUUUUUGACCUCUGCCUUAACAACAGUGUCAUGCAAGCUUAUAUUAGUAGAACCUUUGGACUUUCAGACAUUGCACAUAAAUCCAUGAGUGAAUGAUUCCAAAUUUAUGCUUUUUAUAAAGCGACACUAGAUUUUUAAUCAAAGUUUUUAACUUCAAAAAUAGGCAGAGUGGGCAGUAUAUGAAGAAAGUUUUUUUUAAAAAUUGUGCUGAUCUCUGAUCAUGAAGAUAUUAACUCUUUAAAACCCUUCAUUACAUGGUAAGCAUGUAAUUUAAUGUUUCCAAGUUCUUGAUUUACAAUAAUGGAGGAAUGUAGGGCAGAUCCUUAUAUAUAUGAAAAAUUAUAAAAAAGUCAUUAUUUGUUAAGUUCCACCCUGACACAAGUCAAGUGGCUGACUGGCACCAGUUUACAUAUGGCCAAGUUACAUUGAAAGGCUGUUCUGGAAGAGGGUGGCAUUCAUGCUUCCCACCUCUGAACCGAGCUAAUCUCUUGAGUGUUGUGGGAUUCUUAAGUCAAACCCAGAUUUCUGAUAUCUCCAUGGAGGCUGUGCAAGUCUGUGGCAGGUAUCUAACUCUUAAGAAAGUAAACAAAAGAAAAAGAAAAAGAAAAUAUUUGGAUGUCAGAUACUUCCUUUCAUUGUCUUACUAAGAUGUUUUUAUGUACUAAUACAAAAGCAAGAGUGAAAUACCCAAUGCAUUUUUGUCAUUGAAAUAUGCUUUACUUUGCAAGAAUUGAAACUAAUUAAGCCAAAAAAUUAGUACCUUUGUUUCUGCUCUAUUCAUAAAAACUGAGCAUUUAUUUCAAAACUUGUUCCAGUGCUUUAGAAAUGCUCACAUUAAUACAAACAUAUACACUUAAUGAUCUAGUAACCUAUGGAUCCUGAGUAUGUACCAUGAACACUGAGAGUAAAUGAUUCAUAGGAUGCAGUUUUAGAACAAUUUCAAUUAUUCUUUUGUCUUCUCCUAUAAACUGGCUGUUUAUGUUGGUUUUUCCCUUCCCUGUACUAAAUGGUUGUCAGUUUGUUUAGUGUGUUUACUAUUAAAUAAUUUUCAGAAGACCUCUGUUUCUUUAGUUCUCAAGGGACCUUCAUUUCCUUAAUUAAUCUGACAAAAUUCCAAUUUCAAUUCAAAAUGUCCUCCUUCUCCAGCCCACCCUGUCUCGGCUAGUCAAAAGCUCCUUUUGGAAGUGGGAAAGGAACUCACAGUCAGCUUUUCAUUUUCUGCUCUGCCAUCUCUCACCCCACUACUUGCUAGUUAUAGCUUCAACCCAGCCCCCGCCCCAAACUUUGGGUUCAGGGAGGGAAGAGCUUUACCUGACAAUCAAGCUAAGAGAGAUUUUGCUGGCUGUGCACAUUUGAAAAAUGCACUGUUCUAUAGGCAUCUAGAAAUCCCCUCAUCACUGAGCAUCUUUCUUUGUAAUUUUCUUGACAUAAAUCAAAGUCUCUGCACUAGCUGGGCCCUUCUACAUUUCCAACUUAUCCCAUGGGCUCCUCCAUGCCUCCUUUGGUGGUGACACCUCCCUGCCUCUAUAGGGACCUCACUGCAUGUGACUGCAGCUAACUUCCUAGCUCUAGCCUCUAUUCUGCUGGCAUCAUCACCCUAAACAAGUUCUCACACUACAAUAAGACACCCUCAACUGCUUUCCCCAAAUUCCAGGAGAAACAUACUAAGUUCUGGGAGACUGACGUUCUUCCAUCUGCCGUAUAUCCCUCUCCUGCUGCAGGCAAGGUGAGAGGGCAGGGAGGCUAGGGUGUACAGUGCUUCACCUACAACGCUCUGUAAAUAUCCAGUCUUCAACUUCCUGGCUGAAUUCUUAGCCUUUGUUUGUGUGACUUGAAGAUACGUGUUAGUAUAGUUCACAAGACUGGUUUGGCAACUCUGUUUUAGUCCUGGUAGGUGGUCCAGUGCCUCCGUGGCAAUGCUGCAAUGGUGGCACUUGUUUUCUUGGGACUUCAGAUGAAAGGGACAGGGAAAAGAAAAAAAAUAUUUUAGAGUUUCCUUUUUGGUGCACCAGAAUUGGUGGCAUCUCUGGAGUACUGGGAGGUAGGUUCUAUUCCCAGCCAGGAAUGAUGCAUUAAGGAUCCACCUGUUCAUAAAAAUAAACUCAAAAUGGAUUAAAGACCUAGAUAUAAGACAAGAUACUAUAAAACUCCUAGAGGAAAACGUAUGCCAAACACUCUCAGACAUAAAUGACAGCAACAUCUUCUCAGAUCCACCUCUUAGAGUCAUGACAGUAAAAACAAAAAAUAAGCAAAUGGAACUUAAUUAAACUUAAAAGUUUCUGCACAGCAAAGGAAACCCUGAACAAAAUGAAAAGACAACCCACAGAAUGGGCGAAAAUCUUUGCAAAUGAAGCAACUGACAAGGGAUUAAUCUCCAAAAUUUAUAAACACCUCCUAUCUAUAAUACCAAAAAAACAAACAACCCCAUCAAAAAAUGGGCAGAAGAUCUAAACAGACAAUUCUCCAACAAAGACAUAUGGAUUGCCAAAAAGCAC